rnacentral:rRNA from 1 species
CCUACGGGUGGCAGCAGUAGGGAAUUUUCGGCAAUGGGGGGAACCCUGACCGAGCAACGCCGCGUGAAGGAAGAAGGAAUUCGUUCUGUAAACUUCUGUUAUAAAGGAAGAAAGACGGAUGGAGGAAAUGACAUCCGAGUGACGGUACUUUAUGAGAAAGCGACGGCAAACUACGUGCCAGCAGCCGCGGUAAUACGUGGGUGGCAAGCGUUAUCCGGAUUUAUUGGGGGUAAAGAGGGAGCAGGCGGCAGCAAAGGUCGGUGGGGAAAGACGGAAGCUAAACUUCAGUAAGCCAUAGAAACCGGGCAGCUAGAGGGCAGGAGAGGAUCGUGGAAUUCCAUGUGUAGCGGUGAAAUGCGUAGAUAUAUGGAGGAACACCAGUGGCGAAGGCGACGAUCUGGCCUGCAACUGACGCUGAGGCCCGAAAGCGUGGGGAGCAAAUAGGAUUAGAUACCCUUGUAGUC